UGAGGGAUAUUGGGCAAUGGGCGCAAGCCUGACCCAGCGACGCCGCGUGGGUGAAGAAGGUCUUCGGAUCGUAAAACCCUUUUCUGCGUGACGAGCAAGGACGGUAGCGCAGGAAGAAGUCUCGGCUAACUACGUGCCAGCAGCCGCGGUAAAACGUAGGAGGCAAGCGUUAUCCGGAGUUACUGGGCGUAAAGGGCGUGCAGGCGGCCUGAUAAGUUCGUUGUGAAAGCAUCUGGCUAAACCGGGUGAGGUCAAGGGAUACUGUCAGGCUGGAGGACGGUAGAGGCGGGUGGAAUUCCGGGUGUAGUGGUGAAAUGCGUAGAGAUCCGGAGGAACACCAGAGGCGAAGGCGACCCGCUGGGCCGUACCUGACGCUGAGACGCGACAGCAUGGGGAGCGAACGGG
rnacentral:rRNA from 1 species